rnacentral:lncRNA from 1 species
UCGACCAUCGAGACUUACUUCAUCACCGCCAACGACACCUACGAGGGCCUCUCCACCUGCCAGGCCCUCAUGGCCCAGAACCCCUACGACAGCCGGAACCUCGCCGUCGGCGAGAAGCUGGUCAUCCCCUUGCGCUGCGCCUGCCCCACCGCCAACCAGACGGCUAGCGGCUUCAAGUAUUUGCUCACCUACUUGGUCGCCACCGGCGACGACUUUGACGCGAUAGCCCAGAGGUUCCGCACCGACUCCCAGUCGAUCAUGGACGCGAAUAACUUGUCAUCCAGCUCCGUCAUCUAUCCUUUCACCACGCUUCUGGUGCCCCUCAAGACCGAGCCCUCCAAGGAGGACCUCGUGAACCCGCCUCCGCCGCCUUCCCCGCCUCCGCCGCCUUCCCCUGCAGCGACCGGCGACAAAGGCAGCUCUGACAAGAAAUGGAUAGGGAUCGGAAUUGGAAUCGGAGUCGGUGUUUUAGCCAUUUGUGGAGUUCUAAUUUGGUUCUUGUGCUGGCGGCGCCCCGAACGCAAGCCAAUUCCUCAAGCUCCCAAAAUCGCCGAGUCGCCGUCGGAUGCUUUGGUUUCUAGCGAGAUCCAUAGCGUCAUCGGGUCGCUGACGUUGUAUAAGUUCCAGGAAUUGGAGAGGGCCACCGGGUCUUUCGGGGAAGAUCACAGGAUCAAAGGAUCCGUUUACCGGGCUGUCAUCAACGGGGACAAUGCAGCGGUGAAGAGGCUGAAAGGUGAUGUGUCGAACGAGAUCGAUAUAUUGAAGCAUGCCAAUCACUCCAACGUGAUCAGGCUGUCCGGCUUCUGCCUCCACGAAGGGAACACCUACCUUGUCCAUGAGUUCGCCGAGAGGGGAUCUCUCAGCGACUGGCUUCAUCAGAAGAAGGAUUGGAGUGGUUCGAGUCAUCUUGUCUGGCGGCAGAGAGUUCGGAUUGCUUUCGACGUGGCUGAUGGGCUCAAUUAUCUGCACAAUUACACGAACCCGCCGUAUAUUCACAAGAACUUGAAGAGCAGCAACAUCCUCCUUGACAGGGAGUACAGAGCAAAGCUCUCCAACUUUGGCCUGGCGAGACCGGUGGAGGAUCGGGAAGGCCCGCACCUCACGAGGCAUGUUGUUGGUACUCAGGGAUACCUGGCGCCAGAGUAUCUAGAGCAUGGGCUCAUUACCCCUAAGUUGGAUGUUUUCGCAUUCGGAGUGGUCAUGUUGGAGUUGCUGUCAGGUAAGGAAGCUACCUUCGCCAAGGAAGGUGAUGAGAAAAAGGAAGUGCUGCUGUGGUCGUCGAUAGGAGAAGUUCUCAGCGGAGAAGACGUGAGGAGUAAGUUGAGGAGUUUUGUGGAUCCUUAUCUACAGAAUGAUUAUCCCUUUGAUCUAGCAUUUGCCAUGGCUGAAUUGGCAAGGCGCUGUGUAGAACGCGAGCCUGCAUCGCGCCCAACGGUGACUGAGGUCUUUCUGUCCCUGGCAGCAAUUUAUAAUUCUACUUUGGAUUGGGAUCCAUCAGACUUUACGAACUCUGGCUCAACGGUCCAUGUAAGGAAUCAGAUAUCAGAUUCACUCUUGCUGAACAUUAGAGAUUAGGCACGUUCUCUUUUUCAUGUAAGCAUACUCUCGAUCUCCCAUUUACGUUUUGUGCUGAAACUCUAUAUGCCCUGCUUUUGGUACAACGCCUAUUAAAGCAGAAGGAAAUUUGUGACAUGUACUCUUUUGUGAUAGCGAAUCACUUGAGCUAUAUAUAUUAUACUUUGCCACAAGUAGGUUUAAAUUCCGCUUUGCGACAGCCGUACUCUUCGAAGAUGUAUCAUCUAUGUGUAACAUCUGGAGAAUUUAUUGAAAGAAAUGUUAGUUGUUUUAACGUUAAGUUGAUCUCUAUUUGACUCUUUUGCCAUCUGAAACUAUCCUAAGGGGAAACUUUUAUCAGUGGAUCAAGUUCUGAAGUUGUUCUAAGCUCAGGAAGUAGAUAUAAGAGCUAUUCUUUCCUUAUUAUGCAAGUACCAUCUGAUACAUAUGCGGAAAAGGAUGAGAUUGGAUUAGCAGGUUGAUGAUAAUGAGGUUGCAAGAUGACCACAUAUGGAAAGCAGUAAAUUCAAGCUCUGGUAUGUCACCAUAACAAGUGACCUAUCGCGGGUUCUGGAUGCUUUGGUUCUGGAAUUAGGGAUGUCCUUGACAGUUCUAGUUUGCCGCAAGUCAUGUCCAUUGAAAUAGUUAGGUAUCCUUCUGAAUCUCCAGUGUUCAAAUUUCCUCCAUCAGAUUCUCAUACAAAAUAUUGUAUGGGUUUGUCUGCGAUGAUUACAACCUGCAACUGAACCUGCUGAACCUUUUUGUUACGAUUGCUUGGAAAAUUUAUUCUCCUCUUUGAAAAUUUCCACCCUUCUGCCUGUUUCUGAUUGGCUGUUGAAUGAUGCUCCUUUUGCAUGAGAGAUUGGAAAACACUUGCAGUUAAUUAUUUCAAACAUCCUGUGCAGUAUUCAGGAAUCUUAUUUUGGUCCUGUCAUGAGAAGUUUUCCUGAUAACAUGGAGAUACCAACCCCAAAAGUUUUUUGCGUGCUCCGGCUGCUGAAUCAGAAUGGAGUAGGGUUCAGACUCUGCUUGGAUAAAUGAUUUUGAUCAUAUUUGGAAGUCCAUUCUGCAUGCGUUCACCGGUAGUUCCCAGGAUGAUAGAUUAAGAGACCAUUCAGUGGCAGACCCUUUAAGCCUUUAUUUAGGGUAGUGAUGGUAGUGGCAGACCUUUUAAGCCUUUAUUCAGUGGCAGACCCUUUAAGCCUUUAUUUAUGGUAGGAUGAUAGAUUAAGAGGCCAUUCUGUGCGGUGUUUAGGAAUCUUAUUUUGGUCCUGUCAUGAGAAGAUUUCCUGAUAACAUGAAGACACGAACCCCAAAAGUUUUCGCUUAAUUAUUUGGUUUCUGAAUCAGAAUGAAGUAAGGUUCAGGCUCUGCUUGGGUAAAUGAUUUUGAUUAUAUUUGGAAGUCCAUUCUUCCUGCAUUCACCGGUAGUUCCCAGGAUGAUAGAUUGAGAGACCAUUCAGUGGCAAACCCUUUAAGCCUUUAUUUAUGGUAGUGAUGGUAUUUAUAUCUAUGUAUGAGCCUAUAUCUAUGGUAGUGGCGCACAGGUUGCAUCCGUCACAGAGCACUGGCGUUUGUUGCAAUGGAGUAUAACGAUCACAUUAGAUCUGGCACGCUACCAUAUGCUGCUGCUGGUUUUUGGAGAGUGAUUGACGUGCUAAAUGUCAUAAUACCAGCUUAUUCUUCAUGUCUAUUUGAUGCGGGGGAACAACUUUACCGGAUGUGAUGGUUGAGACAGGAUUAAAAGAUUUCUUCAGAGCACAUCAAACACCUUUGAUAUGAAAGGUUUCUUCUGCAAAUGGACCUGAUUUAAUUAUCAUUUCAAUAUCAGAAAUAUUAGUAACAGAACCUGGGAAACAUAGUAUAAUAAAUAUUACAUUUUUAGUCAUCAGCUCUAAAGAACUAUAUUGGUAGAAGACGUACUGGAAUUCUUUCUCUUUUUUUUUCUGCAUGAUAAUUAGGUUUAUCAAAGCUUCUGCCUGCUAGAUCACCUUGUAGACUAAUUAGACCGGGUUCCAUAAUGUGAUAGUUUAGAAGAGAAAACUCCCUAGCAUGCUAUUUUGUAGGUUUAUAAUUUCUCCAUUAUUCUCAAAGAAAACAAGUUGAAUCCAGCAGAUGCAUCGAGUCUGUUGCAUAAGUUUGGUAGACUGUGUUUUUGUAUCUUUAUUUAGUUUUGAAAAGCUGAGUUUAAAGUAUUCUAAUGUUGAACUAUGAUAAGAAAGAGCAUGAAAGAAGAGGUUGAUGAAAAAUGGGAAAAAAUAAGUAGUUGCAUUGGUGGAUUUUGAACCUAAACUGAUGUUAUCUUGCAGGGUAACAAAACUAACGUAAAUUGAUGACAAAGGAAUUAUCAAGAUUCAGAGAACUGACUUGAUUUCUGGACUAAUCUGGCUUAUUGCUUCUAGAUGCUAUCUCUCACAGAGCAAUGUUAUUGAUGAAGCAUACGCAUAAUAAAUACACCAGUAUAGCAAGUUAUGUGAAUUCCUGAAAUUCUUUUCUUCUUAUAUUUGAUAAAAGCAAAAAUUAGACGCUAUAUGUUUAAUAUAGGUUGAAGUAUCUCCCAAUGAUACAACUGCUGUGAACAAGAUGUGGGGGAAGGAAAAGAAGUCCCCAGUUCUCAGCACUCUGUUAGGAAAUCAUCCGGGUAACUCGCGGGUUCGCUUUUGGCUGAUCAUCUGUGUGCCAAAAUCAAUCAGGAAACAGAGAAAGUCCAAAAUCAUCACGGCAAAUCUUUCAACGCUCUUGCUUCCAACAACUCGAAGGAUCAAGCAUCAUUUUCUUGCACUACCAUGUCUGUUUGUGGCCAUUGACAAACGAGACUCCUCCAUUGGUCAUCUCCUACAUUUCCACCUCGACUCGUUGCUAUUCCCAUUGUUGUUUAUUGAACAUUUCAAAAAAAGCAGGAGAGCCCCUGUGGCGGGGCGGGCGCGACCGUUGGCGUCGCCCUUCUGCCCUUCAUGUUGGUCCAACGAGGAAUGUUCAAAGCAAAAGCCGUGUCCACGCGACCAAUUCAGUUCGGUUUGCUUCUCGGCUUGACAACCAUGGACCAUUUUUUAUUUGUCUAUUUAUUUGUUUUUCCAAAAGAAAGAACAACCAACCAUCCACGGUCAACAGAGCUACAGGCCACACCAAAUCAUUUGUCACAGCUACCAUAUCAUAGCCCUGGGGGGUAAUGCGAGCCGGGAGGAAGAACGGGAGAGAAGAAGAAAAGCCAUGGGGAAGCUGAAGCCCUCUUGCUCUACUGCUCUGCUCCUCUUCUCCUUUCUUCUUUACUGCUUCCCCUCCUCCCAAGCGCAGCAAGAUUACGAGAACAACCAACAAGCGGCCUGCUAUGCCACCAACGGCUCCUCCACCCUAGGCUACUCCUGCAACGGGCAGCGCAACUCCUGCUCCACCUUCCUCACCUUCCGAUCCCAGACCUCGUACCAGUCCCCCUACCAAAUCGCCAACCUCCUCAACGUCGACGCCUCCAACAUCUCCACCAUCAACGGCGUCGCCAACAUCUCCUCCCCGAUCACCAUCUUCGACCUCGUCCUCGUCCCCGUCGCCUGCUCGUGCUCCGGCGAGUACUACCAGCACAACGCCUCCUAUACUGUCAAAUACAACGACAUCUACUUCAGCGUUGCCAACAACACCUACCAGGGCCUCUCCACAUGCCAGGCCCUCGCGGCCCAGAACCCCUACGACAGCCGGAACCUCGCCGUCGGCGAGAAGCUGGUCAUCCCCCUGCGCUGCGCCUGCCCCACCGCCAACCAGACCGCCAGCGGCUUCAAGUACUUGCUCACCUACUUGGUCGCCACCG